AUGAGUGUCCCGCCUGAGCUCCUGGGGUUGCUGCUGCUGUGGCUUACAGAUGCCAGAUGUGAUAUCCAGAUGACUCAGUCUCCGACCACCCUGGCAGUGUCUGUGGGAGAAAGUGUCCCCAUUACAUGUCAAGCAAGUGAGGACAUUUACAGUGAUAUACAUAAGUAUCAGCAGAAACCAGGGAAAUCUCCUCAGCACCUGAUCUAUGAUGCAACCAACUUAGAAGAUGGGGUCCCAUCGAGGUUGAGUGGCAGUGGAUCUGACACACAGUUUCCUCUUAAGAUUAACAGUUUACAGCCUGAAGAUACUGCAACCUAUUACUGUGAAAAUGGAUUAAGUACCCCUCACACAGUGAUUCAAACCAUGACAUACAACACACAGGGAAACAGAAGUGAGAACAAAGACUGCUCCAAAUGUUCCUUCUGA